AUGGCCAUCACCGGCGCCACCGCCAUGGACGCCCCCUUCUUCCGCUCCCUCGGCCUCUCGGACAAGAUCUGGAACAACGGGCCCAUCAGCUUCCAGCUCCAGUGGUUCCAGACCAUCACCUCCUCCGUCUGCGGCAGCAGCUGCAAGAGCUACCUGGCCAACUCGCUCUUCAUCUUCGGGGAGUUCGGGGGGAACGACUACAACGCGAUGCUGUUCGGCAACUACAACACGGACCAGGCGAGCACGUACGCGCCGCAGAUCGUGGACACCAUCGGCGCCGGCGUGGAGAAGCUGGUCGCGAUGGGCGCGGUGGACGUGGUGGUGCCGGGGGUGCUCCCCAUCGGCUGCUUCCCCAUCUACCUCACCAUCUACGGCACCUCCAGCGCCGCCGACUACGACUCCCUCGGCUGCCUCAAGAAGUUCAACGACCUCUCCACGUACCACAACAGCCUGCUGCAGGCCAAGGUGUCGGCGCUCCAGGCCAAGUACAAGUCGGCGCGCAUCAUGUACGCCGACUUCUACGCCGGGGUGUACGACAUGGUCCAGAGCCCCAGCAAAUACGGGUUCAGCUCGGUGUUCGAGGCGUGCUGCGGGUCGGGGGGAGGCAAGUACAACUACGCCAACAGCGCGCGGUGCGGCAUGUCCGGCGCCUCCGCCUGCGCCAGCCCGGCGUCGCACCUCAGCUGGGACGGCAUCCACCUCACCGAGGCCGCCUACAAGCAGAUCACCGACGGCUGGCUCAACGGCGCCUUCUGCCACCCAGGCAUCACCCACUAG
rnacentral:rRNA from 1 species